GGCAGCUCAGUCCGUGACCUGUUGCGAGCCAUGAGGAACAAGAAGCAUCACUACUACGAACUGCCCAGCAAUGUCCAGGAGGCCCUUGGCAGCCUCCCCCACGGAUUCAUCCAGUACUUCCUGGACCGCUUUCCCUGCCUGCUGCUGCACACUUACCGGGCCCUGCGCCUAUGCGCUGCUGAGCGGCUCUUCCGGAGAUACUACUGCCAGGGGGAGUGAGGUGCUUUCCAGAGGGACGGAGCUCGCUGGCCCCUGCCAGCACAUGCCAGCCUGCCCUGCUCUGGAGGGACCCAUUCGGCACCAGCACAGGGCAUCCGAGCUCCACCUGCUCCCUGGGGAAUAGUGUUCGUGCGGGUCAGAAGCUAAUGUAUGGGGCUUCCAGGAGGCCCCAGGCAGAAGAGAGCAGAGGAGUGGGGGGGUGCCCCUCCCAAAAGAAUCUGCUGCCUUCCCUUGAAUUCUCACCUGAAGAAAAUGGCCGAGCAUCACGUGUCACCGUGGGCUGCAUUGCUGAUGCAGCGUGCCUUGCGUGACCAGUAACGAACUGGGCCCUGCUGCAGACAUUCCAGAGGGGGGGGUCUCCUGACCUCUAAAUGCAGGCAUUUUAUUCUGAGACACACAAUGAACGUGGAAGCAGGGAGCAUCUCCCCUUGCCUCAGAAGCCUUCUGGAGUGAGGCUGGGGGGGUGGUAGUAGCAGAAAGCUGCAAAUCGGAUGCGCAAAGCACCCUACACAGUAGCAAGGCCACAGAAAGGAAGGAAGCAGAACCCCUGUGCUCCGCGGCUGGACGACCAUGAGGAAGGAGCCCUUUUCUCAGCAUUUCCUGGCUCCGGGGGGAGCCAACGGCAGGGCUGGGCCCCCGCUUGGACUAAGAUUGCACGGAGAAGGCACUUUGGGGAUCAGGCUUGAGAAUGUGAAAUGCUGUAACUACAUUUUAAUUGUGAUUGCACUUACACAGAAGUCCAAGGCUGGACUUACUUUAGCCAUAAUUUGAUGUACUAGACAGAAUUAGAUCAAAUUUGAACGUGAA